rnacentral:miRNA from 1 species
CGCUAUCCAUCCUGAGCUCC